GGGUAAGUUCCUUCUGCUUUUGACUUAGCAUAAACUCUCCUGCAUCUCUUCUAAGAAAGAGGUUGUUUUUCCCAGACACUCCAACCUUGAGAGCUGUAGAGAGUUUAACCAUGAAGGCCGCUUUGCUCCUUGGUGCCAUCCUCUUGAUCAGCCUGGUUAUGGUUGAUGCACAAAGUAAAACUCCACCUGACCCCAAAAAUAUACCUUCAUCUGGAAAAAACGAAGGUGAACCGGCAACCACCAAAACUACUCCUCCUCAGUCUACUGGUACAAUGGUGUAUGGGGGCCCAGUCUUCUUUUUGUUGCCACUGAUGUGGAUGGUGGUCCAUCUUCUUCACAUGUAACGAACCUGAAGCUUCACUUUUUGGGAGAACAUGAAGGUCCAUCAGUCCUACCCAAGUUUAAGAAAAAGGAGCUCCUUUCCAUUGCUAACUGCUUAAUAGUCCAUCUGGCAUCCUGCUCUUGCUGCCAUUAAUCCAAACAUGUGGUACUAUCUAUGAUUUCAUUGCAUCAGCCAACUAAAUGGGGAAAUGAAAAGAAAGCCAGGAAAAUGUCUGAUGUCAAUCCUCAAGUGCAUGCGUUUGUUUGCAAUAUGACUGUCAUUGUUCAGAGGAAAUCUGCGUAAGAGGACUUAUGAAAUAUCUCAGAUGUAUCUUCUGCUCCUGAGAGAGAUAAUCCAAAUCAUACUUUCCUACAAGAUCUUUUUGCAGAGCUGUCUAAGGAUGGACAUAAGCCACCCAUACCUAUAAUCAUGUCUCAUCCAUUAAGGUGUCUAUCCUACUGAUGCUCUAUUAUAUUUGGUCUCCCAAGCAACUAUGAAGUCACUGUCAACUCCUAAAGUUGACAAGGUGAGAGAAGGGGGGAGUGCAUUCCACGCAUACUUUCGGCUAAAGUUGGAUAUCAGAUUACUGCAGCAGGCUUGGGAGAGGUGCACUUCAUGGGGGAAUGCGAUUUAUCAUACAGACUGAGGUGAGGGAAGGAACAGGGGUAAAGGUCAGCUCAUAACUCAAACAAAGCUUAGACCUGACUGCGAAAAGGCCUUGCCUAAUGGUGCUCCUAAUAAAUUACUAGUUUUGUAUUGAAACUUGGCUCAAUACUCAUGAAUCAAUUAGGGCAUUUUUAGGAAACCUGACAGUCACCCCUGGAGAAAUGAUUGUAUCUUUUCCCAUGAAUCUGCCUUGUGAGAAUCCUUCUCUUAUCUCAAAGAAAGAAGUAACUCCUCUACCCAGGAGGCUUCAUCAUCUUGAUGAGCUUCAGCAUUUCAAGACAAUACCAGUAGCUGUACAAUAAAGCAACGUCUAGCGUAGUGGUUCCACCAGAUUAUCCUUUUUUAACCGGACAGGAGAGGACAAUUGUUCAUCAGACUGGAAGUAACUGAACAUACAGAAUGUUUCUGAUUGUAACUGCAUCUGCAUUUAUAUGAAAUGUAAUCAGAUUUUUUGCAUUUGCCCAUUUACAGAAAACAUCCCAAAGUGAAAAUAAUAGCACAAGCUACAAGUUUGUUUUAUAAAUUGGUUGCUGUUACCUUCUUUAAUAUAGGUUGAUUUAAAUAAAAGCUUCUUGGCUAGCU